AAAGGCGAUCUAUUAAUUAAGGUAUAACUCUUAGGAAGGUUUGGCACCUCAAUGUCGGUUAUUUGCCAUAUGGGGUUGUAGUAUGCUCCAAGGGUUGGGUUAUUCGCCCAUUAAAGUGAUAUGUG